AAAUAUUAGAUCUUUCCAGUGUUUGGCAAAGACGUCAGGGAGCACUGUAAGAUCCAGUGUUUACCAGAAACCUUUGAUCCAGAAUCCUGUUGUAAAUGUGGAAUUAUAUAAUGUAAAGAAUGGGACUGUAAAGGUCACUGCUUACAGCCAGCUUAAUCUCAUUUGUUUUAAACCUAACAGGUAUAAUUGGGACAGAUGGGAUGCAAGGUAUAAUGACUUUUAUUAUUAUGACCACACUUACUGGUGUAGAGUGAGUUACGAUCACUGUCUGCAAGUGAGAAAGAAUGUACUAGAGACAUUAACCUCAGUCACAUUAGAAAUAUGUGUGACGCCAAAUGAUGAUGGAACAACAUAUCGCUGCUCACCCGGGAAUAAAGAGGUUCGAAUUGUUGUCAUCGCACCUCCUCCUCAACGAGUCAUUCCAGCUGUGAGGCCCAUAACUCCCGGGAACGUUCUACCAAAAGCCAAUAGCGGCAUAGAGCAUGGAGUUGGCAUCAUAAUAGUAUUGACCAGCGUAAUACUUCUUAUCAUCAUUGUGUGUGUUACUGUCACCACAUGCAAGGGUCAAAGACUCAGACAAAGGUGCUGUGUGUUGUUUGUAAGGAGAACACCGCUGUCAGCAGUUAACGUCCAUGCAAAUAUGUACGCAAACUCAGUCGCCCAGUAUUACAGUCACCAUCGUCAUCAGGUUCCCCCACCUGAUAACCAGGCUGAAGGGGAUGAUAAGGAGACCUCAAGCAGCCUGGAUGAAGAGUUUGAGGAGUUGCCUGUUCGCCCAAAGACAGAGGACACAGAUUACGUCAGAGUUAACCCCUUAGGAGCUGCAAGGAACAGUGAAAAGUUUGGCCAAGGUGGGCUCCUGCCUUGUAAUUAUGACAACAUG